rnacentral:lncRNA from 1 species
GGUUUCCCUGCUGCUGCAGCCCCCGUCGGCUCCUCUUUUCCAGUCCUCCACUGCCGGGGCUGGGCCCGGCCGCGGGAAGGACCGAAGGGGAUACAGCGUGUCCCUGCGGCGGCUGCAAGAGGACUAAGCAUGGAUGGCAGCCGGAGAGCUGCAGUAGACUGCUCGGUUCCAGUAAGCGUGAGUACCAGCAUAAAGUAUGCAGACCAACAACGAAGAGAGAAACUCAAAAAGGAAUUAGCACAAUGUGAAAAAGAGUUCAAAUUAACUAAAACUGCAAUGCGAGCCAAUUAUAAAAAUAAUUCCAAGUCACUUUUUAAUACCUUACAAAAGCCCUCAGGCGAACCGCAAAUUGAGGAUGACAUGUUAAAAGAAGAAAUGAAUGGAUUUUCAUCCUUUGCAAGGUCACUAGUACCCUCUUCAGAGAGACUACACCUAAGUCUACAUAAAUCCAGUAAAGUCAUCACAAAUGGUCCUGAGAAGAACUCCAGUUCCUCCCCGUCCAGUGUGGAUUAUGCAGCCUCCGGGCCCCGGAAACUGAGCUCUGG